rnacentral:rRNA from 1 species
GAGAGGUGCUGCAUGGCUGUCGUCAGCUCGUGUUGUGAAAUGUUGGGUUAAGUCUCGCAACGAGCGCAACCCCUAUCGUCUGUUGCCAGCAUUAAGUUGGGCACUCUGACGAGACUGCCUGGGUUAACCAGGAGGAAGGUGGGGAUGACGUCAAGUCCUCAUGGCCCUUAUGUCUAGGGCUACACACGUAAUACAAUGGCGCGUACAAAGGGAAGCGAACUCGCAAGGAGCAAAUCUCAAAAAGCGCGCCUCAGUUCGGAUUGAAGUCUGCAACUCGACUUCAUGAAGUUGGAAUCGCUAGUA